rnacentral:lncRNA from 1 species
UUUGAGAAAAAAUGAAUUAGGUAUCAUUAAAAAUUAAAUCAAAAAAGAAAAAGAAAAAGAAAAUAAAAAAGAAAAAGAAAUCAAAUGCCAACGACUAACACGCAUGUUAGGCAAUGAUUGGAGGUAUUCAAAUUUUGGCACCAAAGCGCGCGUAUCUGAACUUUAUCUUCAAGCUCCUUUUGAUUUUGCAAACUUUAUGAACUCAGAGUUUCCAGCUCAAACAACACAUGUUUAAG